UGACUUUGAGCAGCUAAAACAGACUCCAUCAUGGCAGUUAAGAGGGCAAUCUCAUCCUUCAACUCUCGGUUCUCUUGUUCCAAAUGUUACAUGAUUCUCGGUUGAUUGGCACGAGUGUUGUAUCAGCGAGUCAGCUUGGCUGAAGCACAGAAGAAUAACCAAUAAGACAUCAGGCAGAAGAAAACCUGUUAUGCAAAUGAUGCAAGAAAUGCAAUGUUUUGAUUGUUUUUAUUUUCAAGGAACAUACUAUUUUAUUUGCAUGUAUACA
rnacentral:lncRNA from 1 species